UACGGGGGGGGCAAGCGUUGUUCGGAAUUACUGGGCGUAAAGGGCUCGUAGGUGGCCAACUAAGUCAGACGUGAAAUCCCUCGGCUUAACCGGGGAACUGCGUCUGAUACUGGAUGGCUUGAGUUUGGGAGAGGGAUGCGGAAUUCCAGGUGUAGCGGUGAAAUGCGUAGAUAUCUGGAGGAACACCGGUGGCGAAGGCGGCAUCCUGGACCAACACUGACACUGAGGAGCGAAAGUCAGGGGAGCAAACGGG
rnacentral:rRNA from 1 species